UCCAAAUGUCCAACUAAAGAAGCCAGAAAUUCAUUCCUUCUGCUUCCCUUACAAAGAGAAGUCUCAACAUACAACCAAGGAUCAGUCCAUUAGAUAUACGCUUGGAAUAAGCAAGUGUUAAAGCAAGUGCCGUGAAGAAACUGGUGUUGUGUAAGCUGCAGCCUGGCAAGGAUGGUUCUGGGAAGUCCGGUUUUAGGAAGCAGCAGUGGCCAGGCUCCCUCACCCUCCACAGCAGCACCUCAGCCCUGGAUUCUGAGCCCAGCAGCAGAAGCCGAGAAUCCGCCCUGGAGCAGACUCAAGCCUGGGUGUGAGCAUCAGUCCUGGCUACAGAGCUCCUGCCCCAGUGAGACUCCGUAAGCUACAUUUAGCCAUUUUAUCUCUGCUAAAGCUGGAAUACCUUCUGUUCCAACUAAGAUCUCUCCCUGAUUGAAUUAAUUUGCUGAGUGCUUCAGUUUGCUUACUUUUAAUUCAGAAGUUUUUACACAGUAUUGAUGAGAAAAAUUGGUUUGACAUAUACAUGUGUGACUUUAUUCAGAAAUAAAAGCUUGAGAAUUAAACACCCAAAGAUCAACCAUGUUGCCUUUUUUCAACUUGAUAGUAAAUUAAUGGCUACUAUCUUAAAAUUUAAAAAUUCAUAUUCCUUUCACAUUACAAUUAUUUCUGUAUUUUCUAUGACAGCCAACAAAAUAUCAUGGAUUUCUUUUGAAAGAAGUAACAAAAGUUAAAGAAAUCAUUAAACAAAGUGGAAAAAAGCUUCAUAUCAAUAAUUUCUGCACUCAGAAGAUGUAUUUUUUUAGGUGAAAAUUCAAAGUGAUGAGCUUAUAUGCAAUUGAGGCAUAGCAAUCCACAUUUUCUCCAUGACAGUCUUACCUCCAGUUGCCUUCGGGGAAAUCAAUGGUGUAAAGUCAUGUAUAUUGACAGAAACUUAACCAUGCACUGGGACAUUAUAGGAUGAAAGGUCUCUACUAAAAACUUUAUGUGUAUUCCUGACAACAGAGUAUCUGUUACAAACAUGCCUCCACCUUCCACUGCCCACACUAUAACCAGCUGCCACUGCAGCCUCAUCUAUUGAAAUAAUCCUGUAGAUAUUAGCCCAGAGGCUAUGUCUUCUCUUUAAAAUUUGGCUUCACAAGGCAUCCAAAGCCAGGGCUCUGUAACAACCUGAAGGGAUAGGUUGGAGAGGGAGGUGGGAGGGGGUUUCAGGAUUGGCUGGGGGGGACACAUGUAUACCUAUGGCCAAUUCAUGCUGAUGGCAAAAACCAUCACAAUAUUGUAAGUCAUUUGCCUCCAAUUAAAAUAAAUAAACACAUUUUAAAAUAAAAUAAAAUUGUGCUUCAAAUAGCGAAGAAAGCUCUGGGGAAUUUGUCAGAUAACAAUGCUUCUACUGAGACGAAAACAAAGCUAACUGUGUUGCAAAGACCUUUCUUAUUUUAUAUUUUCAUUGUUUCAUCCUUUUUCUUUCUUCCCAGAGACUUGCCCCUGUGUUCCUGCAA
rnacentral:lncRNA from 1 species